rnacentral:rRNA from 1 species
CGGGACACGUGGUAUCCUGUCUGAAUAUGGGGGGACCAUCCUCCAAGGCUAAAUACUCCUGACUGACCGAUAGUGAACCAGUACCGUGAGGGAAAGGCGAAAAGAACCCCGGCGAGGGGAGUGAAAAAGAACCUGAAACCGUGUACGUACAAGCAGUGGGAGCACGCUUAGGCGUGUGACUGCGUACCUUUUGUAUAAUGGGUCAGCGACUUAUAUUCUGUAGCAAGGUUAACCGAAUAGGGGAGCCGAAGGGAAACCGAGUCUUAACUGGGCGUUAAGUUGCAGGGUAUAGACCCGAAACCCGGUGAUCUAGCCAUGGGCAGGUUGAAGGUUGGGUAACACUAACUGGAGGACCGAACCGACUAAUGUUGAAAAAUUAGCGGAUGACUUGUGGCUGGGGGUGAAAGGCCAAUCAAACCGGGAGAUAGCUGGUUCUCCCCGAAAGCUAUUUAGGUAGCGCCUCGUGAAUUCAUCUCCGGGGGUAGAGCACUGUUUCGGCAAGGGGGUCAUCCCGACUUACCAACCCGAUGCAAACUGCGAAUACCGGAGAAUGUUAUCACGGGAGACACACGGCGGGUGCUAACGUCCGUCGUGAAGAGGGAAACAACCCAGACCGCCAGCUAAGGUCCCAAAGUCAUGGUUAAGUGGGAAACGAUGUGGGAAGGCCCAGACAGCCAGGAUGUUGGCUUAGAAGCAGCCAUCAUUUAAAGAAAGCGUAAUAGCUCACUGGUCGAGUCGGCCUGCGCGGAAGAUGUAACGGGGCUAAACCAUGCACCGAAGCUGCGGCAGCGACGCUUAUGCGUUGUUGGGUAGGGGAGCGUUCUGUAAGCCUGUGAAGGUGUGCUGUGAGGCAUGCUGGAGGUAUCAGAAGUGCGAAUGCUGACAUAAGUAACGAUAAAGCGGGUGAAAAGCCCGCUCGCCGGAAGACCAAGGGUUCCUGUCCAACGUUAAUCGGGGCAGGGUGAGUCGACCCCUAAGGCGAGGCCGAAAGGCGUAGUCGAUGGGAAACAGGUUAAUAUUCCUGUACUUGGUGUUACUGCGAAGGGGGGACGGAGAAGGCUAUGUUGGCCGGGCGACGGUUGUCCCGGUUUAAGCGUGUAGGCUGGUUUUCCAGGCAAAUCCGGAAAAUCAAGGCUGAGGCGUGAUGACGAGGCACUACGGUGCUGAAGCAACAAAUGCCCUGCUUCCAGGAAAAGCCUCUAAGCAUCAGGUAACAUCAAAUCGUACCCCAAACCGACACAGGUGGUCAGGUAGAGAAUACCAAGGCGCUUGAGAGAACUCGGGUGAAGGAACUAGGCAAAAUGGUGCCGUAACUUCGGGAGAAGGCACGCUGAUAUGUAGGUGAAGUCCCUCGCGGAUGGAGCUGAAAUCAGUCGAAGAUACCAGCUGGCUGCAACUGUUUAUUAAAAACACAGCACUGUGCAAACACGAAAGUGGACGUAUACGGUGUGACGCCUGCCCGGUGCCGGAAGGUUAAUUGAUGGGGUCAGCGCAAGCGAAGCUCUUGAUCGAAGCCCCGGUAAACGGCGGCCGUAACUAUAACGGUCCUAAGGUAGCGAAAUUCCUUGUCGGGUAAGUUCCGACCUGCACGAAUGGCGUAAUGAUGGCCAGGCUGUCUCCACCCGAGACUCAGUGAAAUUGAACUCGCUGUGAAGAUGCAGUGUACCCGCGGCAAGACGGAAAGACCCCGUGAACCUUUACUAUAGCUUGACACUGAACAUUGAGCCUUGAUGUGUAGGAUAGGUGGGAGGCUUAGAAGUGUGGACGCCAGUCUGCAUGGAGCCGACCUUGAAAUACCACCCUUUAAUGUUUGAUGUUCUAACGUUGACCCGUAAUCCGGGUUGCGGACAGUGUCUGGUGGGUAGUUUGACUGGGGCGGUCUCCUCCUAAAGAGUAACGGAGGAGCACGAAGGUUGGCUAAUCCUGGUCGGACAUCAGGAGGUUAGUGCAAUGGCAUAAGCCAGCUUGACUGCGAGCGUGACGGCGCGAGCAGGUGCGAAAGCAGGUCAUAGUGAUCCGGUGGUUCUGAAUGGAAGGGCCAUCGCUCAACGGAUAAAAGGUACUCCGGGGAUAACAGGCUGAUACCGCCCAAGAGUUCAUAUCGACGGCGGUGUUUGGCACCUCGAUGUCGGCUCAUCACAUCCUGGGGCUGAAGUAGGUCCCAAGGGUAUGGCUGUUCGCCAUUUAAAGUGGUACGCGAGCUGGGUUUAGAACGUCGUGAGACAGUUCGGUCCCUAUCUGCCGUGGGCGCUGGAGAACUGAGGGGGGCUGCUCCUAGUACGAGAGGACCGGAGUGGACGCAUCACUGGUGUUCGGGUUGUCAUGCCAAUGGCACUGCCCGGUAGCUAAAUGCGGAAGAGAUAAGUGCUGAAAGCAUCUAAGCACGAAACUUGCCCCGAGAUGAGUUCUCCCUGACUCCUUGAG